AUGAACGCUGGCGACAUGGAUAAGGCAUGCAAGUCGAGUGGGUUUAGACCCACGGCGAACGAGGUAGUAACACGUAGGUACGCACCCGGAAGUCGGGCAUAACCCGCCGAAAGGCGGAAUAACUCCCGAUGGUAUCUGACGCCGCAAGGCUGAAGAUUAAAAAUUUAUUGCUUCCGGAGCGGCCUGCGGGCUAUCAGCUAGUUGGUAGGGUAAUGGCCUACCAAGGCGAUGACGGCUAGGGGGGGUGAGAGCCUGUUCCCCACCGAUGGUACUGAGACACGGACCAUACACCUACGGGUGGCUGCAGUCGAGAAUCUUCCGCAAUGGGCGCAAGCCUGACGGAGCGAUGUCGCGUGAUUGAUGAAGCGCUUCGGCGCGUAAAAAUCUUUUAUCGGGGAGAAAACUAGGAUUUAUUCUAGUGUGAUAGUACUCGAUGAAUAAGGGGUUGCUAAACUCGU
rnacentral:rRNA from 1 species